AGGACGAACGCUGGCGGCGUGCUUAACACAUGCAAGUCGAGCGGUAAGGCCCUUCGGGGUACACGAGCGGCGAACGGGUGAGUAACACGUGGGUGACCUGCCCCUAGCACUGGGAUAAGCCCGGGAAACCGGGUCUAAUACCGGAUAUGACCUUCAAGGGCAUCCUCGAAGGUGUAAAGGAUUCUGGCUAGGGAUGGGCCCGCGGCCUAUCAGCUUGUUGGUGGGGUAAUGGCCCACCAAGGCAACGACGGGUAG
rnacentral:rRNA from 1 species